GAUGAACGCUGGCGGCGUGCUUAACACAUGCAAGUCGAACGGAAAGGCCCAAGCUUGCUUGGGUACUCGAGUGGCGAACGGGUGAGUAACACGUGGGUGAUCUGCCCUGCACUUCGGGAUAAGCCUGGGAAACUGGGUCUAAUACUGGAUAGGACCACUUCUUGGAUGGUGUGGUGGAAAGUUUUUUCGGUGUGGGAUGAGAUCGCGGCCUUUCAGCUUGUUGGUGGGGUAAUGGUCUACCAAGGCGUCGACGGGUAGCCGGCCUGAGAGGGUGUACGGCCGCAUUGGGACUGAGAUACGGCCCAGACUCCGACGGGAGGCAGAAGUGGGGAAUAUUGCACAAUGGGCGCAAGCCUGAUGCAGCGACGCCGCGUGGGGGAUGACGGCCUUCGGGUUGUAAACUCCUUUCGCUAGGGACGAAGCGUUUUUGUGACGGUACCUGGAGAAGAAGCACCGGCUAACUACGUG
rnacentral:rRNA from 1 species